CGUGUUUGGCUCCUGGCUUUCCGGGUAAGGGAUUAGGGUUCGAUUCUGGAGAGGAGCCUGAGAACGGCUACUACAUCUACGGAAGGCAGCAGGCGCGUAAAUUACCCUCAUUUCUGCCUCAGGGAGGUGGUAAUCAAGAUAUAACAACGCAAUUUCAUUGUGAUUGUAGUGAGGGUAUUCCAAACCGAACCACUAGUACGAUUAGAGGGCAAGUCUGGUGCCAGCAGCCGCGGUAAUUCCAGCUCUAAUAGCGUAUAUUAAAGUUGCUGCAGUUAAAAGCUCGUAGUCGGAUUUCAAGGCUUUUAUUCCCUUUCUUUUUAAUAUAGUCUACUAGUCAUUGACUGUUACUGUGAGAAAAUUAGAGUGUUUAAAGCAAGCUUUUGCAGAAUACAUUAGCAUGGAAUAACGAAUGAGUCAUGAAUCUUGGAUAAUCUGACUCGACCACCAACACGCAACGCAGGGGGCAUAGAUUUAUUGCAGAGUGAAAUUCUUGGAUUUGUUAAUGUCUAUCUGUAUGCGAAGCAUUUGCCAGGAUGUUUUCAUUUAUCACGCACCACACGACCACGGGAUCAAGACAUCAGAUACUGUCGUAGUCCUAUCUAUAACUAUGCCGACUAGGAUUGAUGGGCAUACACCCAUUUCAGUACCUAUGAGAAUCCAAGUCUUUGGGUUCUGGGGGGAUUAUGUCCCAGACUGAACUAAGAAUGACGAGACCACCGGAUGGACUGGCGCUAUGACUCAACGGACUACAGUCGACAUAUAGGAUGCAUGUAGCUUUCUUGAUUCUGCUGGCAUGCGUCUUAUU
rnacentral:rRNA from 1 species